rnacentral:rRNA from 1 species
UACGAAGGGGGCUAGCGUUGCUCGGAAUCACUGGGCGUAAAGGGUGCGUAGGCGGGUUCUUAAGUCAGAGGGGAAAUCCUGGAGCUCAACUCCAGAACUGCCUUUGAUACUGAGAGUCUUGAGUACGGGAGAGGUGAGUGGAACUGCGAGUGUAGAGGUGAAAUUCGUAGAUAUUCGCAAGAACACCAGUGGCGAAGGCGGCUCACUGGCCCGUUACUGACGCUGAGGCACGAAAGCGUGGGGAGCAAACAGG